GACGUAGGGCGCAAGUGUUGUCCGGAAUUAUUGGGCGUAAAGAGCUCGUAGGCGGCUUGUUGCGUCGACUGUGAAAACCCGUGGCUCAACCAUGUGGUCUGCAGUCGAUACGGGCAGGCUAGAAUUCGGUAGGGGAGACUGGAAUUCCUGGUGUAGCGGUGAAAUGCGCAGAUAUCAGGAGGAACACCGGUGGCGAAGGCGGGUCUCUGGGCCGAUAUUGACGCUGAGGAGCGAAAGCGUGGGGAGCGAACAGG
rnacentral:rRNA from 1 species